AGACCUUUCAGCCAGUAAAGGCUGCAGUCAACUUUGGGAACCUGGUUACUACACACUUGCUGCUUAUUUUGUUUGCUGUUAUAGAUGAUGUUGCAAUUAAUAUCUUUAUACUUCACUCUUGGGGCAUGCUCUGUAGCAUUUGUACAUGAGCAAUUAUGAAAUGCUCGCUCAGGACAGUUCUCUCAUUUUAAUGAAAAUUAUGAAGUUGUCUGCAAGCCUUCAACGAACAGACUUCCCAAGAAGACAGGACAUCAAAGGAUGAUGGAAAGAAGUCUGAAUAUUCACGGUCCAAGGGCUGGCAAGCUGUGCAUGCCAGGUCCCUCUGCCAUCCUGUUUCUGCCUUGCAGCCAGCUGACCAUGGACCAAAACUGAGCAGAGACUGUUUGCUUUAAGAAACUUGGUAGGAAAAGUUACAGGAGACAAAUGGAAAGGACAUAUGAAGUCAGACCAAAAAACUGAAGAAGUAUAUUUUAUUUUAUCAACUGGUUAAGACUCAUUUACUAAAACGAAGCUUUAAAGAAACACGUGGACACUUAUUAUCCGGUGACUGCUGUUGUCCUUGUUUUCUUUAUUUUUUUCUCCAUAUUCACAGUAUUUUUAUUUAAAGGUGAUAACUUCUAUAAUUGGAAGCAAGCAAGCAAACAGAGUCCAGGAGAUACAGGGGAAGAUACAAGAGGUGAACCACGCAUCCUACGGUCCUUUCUAAAAGAGCUAAGACACCCGUUAUCGGGCCUGUGAGGUCCUAUGCAUGGCGGGAUCUACCCACCACCCCAGCCUCAUCCCACAUGCUGCCCAUGGAUCCUUGACUCCAGUCUUCAAAACUCUUUCAGUCCCUGCAAUUCUCCGUGAUUCCUCCUGUACAAGCCAUUCCCUCUGUCCCUUUGCCAGCAAUGUCCCUACUCCUCAGCCUUCAUAGUGAUUCUCACAGAGUGGCCUUCUCUUGUACACCUUCAAUCCUGCUUUCCAAGAGCUGUUCGUGUGCUGUGUGGCACUUAUUUCAGGAAGCCCGAUCUUGUCUGUGCGAUUUCAUCAAUAGCUACAUCGACUUACAGGGCUGAGAGCUGCAUGUGUGCAUUUGCUCACUAUGUAUCCAACGGGCUAGCACAGUGGGUGCAUAGUAUCUUAGGACAUGCGGGGUUUCUUGCCAUUUCAAUCAUUAGUGCAGAUCCCAUUCUAUCCUUAAGAAUCUUUUCCCGGGUUUGACUGUCCUAAAAUGCAUGGCCCCAACUCAUUUUGACUGUGCCAACAAUGACAUUCUGUGAAAAUACAUCUGAUCCUAAUUUUCACAAAGUUCCUCACAUUCAUCCAAUGGCAUAUGAAACAAUCGCUGCAUGAAAGCUGAUACGGCACCUGUGCUUACACCACAGAUGUAGUCAAAGAGCUGAUGAACUGGCUUCUGAGUUAGUUCAACUGAUUUCCGCAGUGUCUGAAGAGCAACCACACCCCUUGUUCCUAAACUGUCAAUUGUGAGAAUUUGGAUUUCUCUCCCUUUCGCUGGGUCCACAUAACCAAUUAAGGCCGAAAUUUCUCUAACUGCAGCCUAAAGAAUUUCAUCUUUAACUUGUCUCAGUCAUAAUAAAAUAGGGUAUAAUUCUUUCCUUGACAGCUACUCCUUUUCCUUCAGGAAAUUCUAGAAGAAGAAAAGUCAGUUCUUCGACCCUAGUAAUGCAGAGCUUUGGGUCUCCUGUUCUUAAUGCCUGAACUAAAGCCCGGGUUCUAUUAUCAAUACUCACUCUUG
rnacentral:lncRNA from 1 species